rnacentral:rRNA from 1 species
GACGAACGCUGGCGGCGUGCUUAACACAUGCAAGUCGAACGAAGAGCGAUGGAAGCUUGCUUCUAUCAAUCUUAGUGGCGCACGGGUGAGUAACGCGUAAUCAACCUGCCCUUCAGAGGGGGACAACAGUUGGAAACGACUGCUAAUACCGCAUACGAUCUGACCUCGGCAUCGAGGAUAGAUGAAAGGUGGCCUCUACAUGUAAGCUAUCACUGAAGGAGGGGAUUGCGUCUGAUUAGCUAGUUGGAGGGGUAACGGCCCACCAAGGCGAUGAUCAGUAGCCGGUCUGAGAGGAUGAACGGCCACAUUGGGACUGAGAACCGGCCAAGAACCCAACGGGGGGCAGGAGGGGGAAAUCUUCCGCAAUGGAAGAAAGUCUGAGGGAGAAACGCCGCGUGGGGGAUGACGGCCUUCGGGUGUAAAAGCUCUUUUAAUCGGGAGGAAAGGCCUUUUUGAAAAAAGUGAGAGGGAUUGACGGUACCGGAAUAGAAAGCCACGGAUAACUACGU